UACUCGAGGCGUAGUCGUUAGGGUGUUGGACUACGACUCUGGAGACCAGGGUUUGAUUCCCAGCUCGGGCAC